AGCGUAAAGCUACUUUUAUAAAGUUCUAAGAAUCCUUUGUGGCCACGGUCGUCUACUAAUACUUAAAAACAUAGUUCUCCUUCGUAACAUAGGAGUUCGGGACCUCUCUAACUAGAAAGAAACUUUUCAUAUGUAAAGCGUUCCGAUUCUGAACCUGGAUUCAUGGCCAUCUGCAGAAGAUCUGGGUCUUGAUGACUUUCAGUACAGAGCUCUUCAAAUGGCGCUCACCAAAGAGUUUGCGAUCAUUCAAGGUCCACCGGGUACUGGAAAGACAUUCAUUGGGUUGAAGAUCACCAAAGUUUUGUUGCACAACAAUAGCAAGUGGGACUCAGAUGAAGUGAGAUCUUGGUACUGGUCUCUACAGUCUUUGACUCAUCACCCAACUCUAGUACACAAACCACGCGCUUGACCAGUUUCUAGAGGGAAUCCAUCAGUUUCAUCCAAAGGGAAUUGUGCGGAUUGGAGGUCGGAGUCAAAAUGAGACCCUGAAGCCGUGCAGUCCGUCGGAGUUGAAACAAAAAAUAAGCAAAUCAUACUCGAUGAGGAGAAAAAAGUUCCUCAACAUAUCAGAAAAAGGUUACACGAAGCUCAUACGAUAAUGGAAGACACUGAGUCG